UGACAAAAGCUUGGCAGCCUCAUUGGGUGGGGCCCAUGAGUGUGAGGACUCAGACUGUCAUUGCACUGAGACCUGGAGCCAAGCACUGAGUGCAUGCUGAAGACACUGCUCCAAGCUCCACCACCCUAUUGGCCAAGGCACAAGUGCAAAUUGUACUUAUGAAUUUAUCAUAAAUUAUUUUUUAAAUGGAAUGUUUCAAACCAAACUAUGAAAAUGCUUUCCCUCCGGAAUGGAAUCCCACCCUUAGCAAUCUGAGUUUGACUUGAUAAAUAACGUGACAGGCUACUGAGGAAGAUUGCAAAUUAUAUCUCUCAGGGGGUUUUCAAAAGACAAUUACCAUCUGUCCAGUAGAAGUCCAAGAGUUACACAGAGGCAGAGGUAGAAGCAGAGAGAGAUAUUCCAUCACACCCCCAAAUGGCUGCAACGGUUGGAACUGGAUGAAUCUGAAGCCAGGAGUCAGGAGCUUCUUCCAGUCCUUGCAGGUGCUGUUCCUGUGGAGUGUAAAUUCCAGGAGGAGAGUUAAGGCUGUAGCAGAUGUUAUAAAAUGUAACUUUAAUUAUUUUGGAAGCUUAUACAUUGUUGCUGGUUUUACUAUAUUUUGAAGAUAUGAAUAAAUGAGUUAACAUUUAUCAACUGAA